UGUGGUUAAAAAGCUCGUAGUUGGAUCUCAACAGCCUUGAAGCGGUUAACUUUAUAGUUUUACUGCUUUAUAGGCUGUGCUUUUGCUGGAGGUUUAGGGGUGCUCUUGAUCGAGUGUCUCUGGAUGCCAGCAGGUUUACUUUGAAAAAAUUAGAGUGCUCAAAGCAGGCUAAAAUGCCUGAAUAUUCGUGCAUGGAAUAAUAGAAUAGGAUGUCGAUCCUAUUUUGUUGGUUUUCGGGACUCGACAUAAUGAUAAAUAGGGACAGUCGGGGGCAUUUGUAUUCAAACGACAGAGGUGAAAUUCUUGGACCGUUUGAAGACAAACUACUGCGAAAGCAUUUGCCAAGAAUGUUUUCAUUAAUCAAGAACGAAAGUUAGAGGUUCGAAGGCGAUUAGAUACCGCCCUAGUUCUAACCAUAAACGAUGCCAGCUAGCGAUCUGCCUGCGUUUUUACUGUAGACUGGGCAGGAAGCUUCCGGGAAACCAAAGCAUUUGGGUUCCAGGGGAAGUAUGGUUGCAAAGCUGAAACUUAAAGGAAUUGACGGAAGGGCACCACCAGGAGUGGAGCCUGUG
rnacentral:rRNA from 1 species